UACGUAGGGUGCAAGCGUUGUCCGGAAUUAUUGGGCGUAAAGAGCUCGUAGGCGGUCUGUCGCGUCUGCUGUGAAAACUCAGGGCUUAACCCUGAGCUUGCAGUGGGUACGGGCAGACUAGAGUGCGGUAGGGGAGACUGGAAUUCCUGGUGUAGCGGUGAAAUGCGCAGAUAUCAGGAGGAACACCCGGUGGCGGAAGGCGGGUCUCUGGGCCGUAACUGACGCUGGAGGAG
rnacentral:rRNA from 1 species